CAUUAGAUACAAAAAAUUAUCAAAUAAAUAACAAUGAGAACCCUAUUGGUACUGUGACUAAAUAAAGCUCACCGGGAUUUAGAACUAGAAUGGCUUUCAUCUGUAUACAAAAAAAAAUCUUUUUUUACAUUUUCAAAAUUUUUAAAAAUAAUAAUUUUAAACAUAUAACUUAUAUGAUAAAUUGUUUCUGUAAAUGUAAAACGUUGCGUUUUAACCGAUAUGGGUGGGACAGGCCAUAAGCAUGAACAAGUAACAAAAUUUAAAACGGAGAUUAUUUUCUUUCGAAGGCUUAUGUAUCUUUUUUCAUUGCCCUAAAAAACAGUUGAACCUAUUAAAA